CGGGACGUGGCGCAGCCCGGUAGCGCACCUGAAUGGGGUUCAGGGGGUCGCGGGUUCAAAUCCCGCCGUCCCGA
rnacentral:tRNA from 5 species